CUUGGUCAUUUAGAGGAAGUAAAAGUCGUAACAAGGUCUCCGUUGGUGAACCAGCGGAGGGAUCAUUACCGAGUUUACAACUCCCAAACCCCUGUGAACAUACCUAUCGUUGCUUCGGCGGAUCCGCCCCGGCGCCCUCGGGCCCGGACCCAGGCGCCCGCCGGAGGACCCAAAACUCUUGUUUCUUUUUGAGAUUCUUCUGAGUAAAGCAAGCAAAUAAAUCAGAACUUUCAACAACGGAUCUCUUGGUUCUGGCAUCGAUGAAGAACGCAGCGAAAUGCGAUAAGUAAUGUGAAUUGCAGAAUUCCGUGAAUCAUCGAAUCUUUGAACGCACAUUGCGCCCAUCAGUAUUCUGAUGGGCAUGCCUGUUCGAGCGUCAUUUCAACCCUCAAGCCCCCGGGCUUGGUGUUGGGGAUCGGCCCGCCCCUAGCGGCGCGCCGUCCCCUAAAUUCAGUGGCGGUCACGCUGUACUCCUCUGCGUAGUAAUAUCACCUCGCAACGGGACAAAGCGCGGCCACGCCGUUAAACCCCCAACUUCUGAAGGUUGACCUCGGAUCAGGUAGGAAUACCAGCUGAACUUAAGCAUAUCAAUAAGCGGAGGA
rnacentral:rRNA from 1 species